UUCACACGACACGGGUGCUUUGCAUUAAUUUGUAAAGCUGAGAGAAACCGCUUGAACGUGAAUCCAGGUAAUGCUGGCGCACGGAGAUCUGUUUUUCCCGUG
rnacentral:ncRNA from 1 species